UUUGGUUUUGUUUUGUUUAGUUUUGUUUAGUUUUGUUUUGUUUAGUUUAGUGUUUUCGUCUCGCCUAAUGUCGCCAUUUUGAGCUGUUUUCACGCGAUUCUUCUCGCUCUCUUUGGCUGCGUGUAAAAUCGUAUCAAAAUAGAAAGCCGCCAUUUGGUCGCCAUGGCUACGUUCCAUACCCGCAUACUACCGCACUAAAUAAUACGUCGGAGUACGAGUAGUGCUUUAUAAUGAAGGAGAAGGGUUUGGAAAUCAUUAUACAUUGCUAAAGAUAUUCACGCGUAAACAGAGCAAUGGCUGGAGGCCAUGUCACCGAAAAGAUUUUUCAGAUUGUUUUUGUUUUUGUUUUAUGCAUUAGAUGUUUCGCGACGUUUCGCCUAUACAGUACCCCCUUUUUUUUGUCCCAUCAUAAAAGUAUUUCUUGAAAUAUUUAAUAACCAGGGGGGCGUAAUGGUUUAAUGGUUAGCACUGUUGUCUCCUUCCCCGUGCUUCGGGGGUUUCCUCCGGGUACUCCGGUUUCCUCCCGCAGUCCAAAGACUGUACUUUAUGCGGAUUGCGGUUUCCAAAUUGUCUGUAGGAUGUGAACGUGUGUGCGAUUGUGCACUGCGAUUGGUUGGCACCACGAGUUCCCUGAUAUAGGCUCCAGGCUUCCUCUAUGACCCUGUGUAGGAUAAGCAGUAUGGAAAAUAAAUGGGUGGAUGAACGGUGUUAGUGUACUCCUCAAUCCGGCUGCACCUCUUGUCUUCAUCCAUGCCAAAUGGAACGGAAAUAAAAUAUCACGGCGUGUGGGGAGCCUGGAGCACGAGAUGUGAGGCCAACCCGUCACAGGGCACAAUCGCACACACGUUCACACACGGAGAAUUUGGAAAUGCCGAUUAAUGCGUACGAUGCAUGUCUUUGGACUGGAGAAGGAAACCAGGGUACCCAGAGGAAACCCCAGAAGCGUGGGGAGAAUAUGCAAAAACCACACUCACAGGGCGGAGGCAGGAAUUUGAACGCCAAACCCCGGAGGUGCGAGGUUCAUGGUGGAUCGAGAGUCUAUCCAAGAGAGUCUAUCCCAGGAACUCUAUCCCAGAGAGUCUAUCCCAGGAACACCGGGCAUGAGGCGGGAAUAACCGAUGGAUGAGAUACAUCACAGUCCAGUCACAUCCAGGUCACCAUGCACACACGUUCACACCUAGAGGCAAUCCGAGUUUGCAAAUCCAAAUCCAGAGGAGCAAGAAGUUGACAUGAGGAGAACAAGCACAGGAAGUCACAUGUACUCCUGAGCACAGGAUCUAGAACCAAGGACCCUGGAGAUGUGAGACGGCAGCACCAAUGUUCUAUAACUAAUGUUAAAUGAAUAUUACAAUGUAAAAUAAACAACUGUAAGGAUCAUUAUUAUUAUUAUUAUCAUUAUUAUUAUUAUUAUAUUAUUUCUGCCUCUG